GACGUGACGGCGUUCGUUUCUAUCAAUAUGGGACAAAAAUCCAUGUCCCAGACUGCGGCCUGAUCCGGAGGACUCGGGGCUCAGGAACGGGGGGGCGAGAAGGGGAAGCACCACAUGAUGGAGGGCGCGGUCCGGUGCUCCGCCAACUACGUUCCCCUCACCCCCAUAAGCUUCUUGGAGCGCGCCGCCGCCGUCUACGGCGAUUGCGCCUCCGUCGUCUACGGCCCCACCACCUACUCGUGGAGGGAGACCCGCGAUCGCUGCCUCCGCCUCGCCUCCGCUCUCUCCCGCUUGGGGAUCUCACGCGGCGACGUUGUAGCUGUACUUGCUCCAAACAUUCCAGCAAUGUAUGAACUACAUUUCGGUGUGCCAAUGACUGGUGCAAUCCUCUGUACACUCAACACACGUCAUGACUCAGCCAUGCUAUCAGUCCUUCUGAAGCACUCUGAGGCUAAAAUUGUCUUCGUGGACUAUCAGUUACUUGAAGUCGCCCAAGGAGCACUCAAACUUCUCUCCCAAGCCAGAGUGAAACCUCCCCUUCUGGUUAUAAUCACAGAAUCCGGUGGAUCAUCUCCUGCAGUUCCAAAUUUCGCUGCUUCGGUGGAUGAGGAAUAUGAAAUUCUUCUGAAGACUUCACCUCCUCGGUUUGAGAUCAAAUGGCCUGUUGAUGAACGUGACCCUAUCUCACUAAACUAUACAUCUGGCACCACAUCCAGACCCAAAGGUGUUAUCUACAGUCACCGGGGAGCCUACCUAAAUGCCAUUGCGACAGUCCUCUUCAAUGACAUGACCACAAUGCCGGUGUAUCUGUGGACUGUGCCCAUGUUCCAUUGUAAUGGGUGGUGCCUAACUUGGGGUAUAGCAGCUCAAGGUGGGACAAACAUCUGCAUUAGAAAUGUCUCUGCAAAGGUUAUUUUUGAAAACAUUGCCCUGCACAAGAUCACCCACAUGGGUGGUGCACCCACAGUUCUUAACAUGAUUGUGAAUGCUCCAAUGACCGAGCAGAAACCAUUGCCUGGAAGAGUGACUGUGAUGACUGGUGCUGCACCACCACCUCCCCAGGUUCUAUAUAAGAUGGAAGAACUUGGUUUCCAUGUCAUCCACUCCUAUGGCCUCACAGAAACUUAUGGUCCAGGGACAGUUUGCACAUGGAAGCCUGAGUGGGACUCCCUCCCUGCCGAGGAGCGUGCAAGACUCAAAUCCCGCCAGGGACUUCAACAUCUUGGAAUCGAGGAGUUAGAUGUUAAAGAUCCAGUUACUUUGAAAAGUGUUCCAGCUGAUGGGAAAACCAUGGGGGAGGUAAUGUUCAGAGGCAACACAGUCAUGAAUGGAUACUACAAAGAUUUGAAUGCAACCAAUGAAGCUUUGUCUGGAGGAUGGUUUCGAUCCGGAGACCUUGCAGUGAGGCAUGCUGAUGGAUAUGUAAAGCUCAAGGACCGAUCGAAAGAUAUUAUAAUUUCAGGUGGGGAAAAUAUAAGCACUAUAGAGGUAGAGUCUGUGCUGUUUAGUCAUCCAGCCGUGCUCGAGGCUGCAGUAGUUGGACAACCAGAUGAUUAUUGGGGUGAGACACCCUGUGCUUUUGUGAAGUUGAGGGAGGGUACUCAUGCUGGUGCUGAAGAGAUUAUUAGAUUUUGUCGUGCCCGGCUGCCACACUAUAUGGCACCUCGCACUGUUGUUUUUGAGGAUCUUCCAAAGACUUCGACCGGGAAGACGCAAAAGUUUGUCCUUAGGGAGAAGGCAAAGGCCAUGGGAAGCCUCUUCAAUAAGGGUACUAGCAAGCUUUGAGGUAAUCUCAGCAAGUUGGCUAUGAUGGCUACUGAUCAAAUAAGUGGCAUGUAAGUUCAUAAGGUUCUCACUAUACCAGCAGCAAAUCAUCCGGAACUGGGAAAGUGCAUCUUUACAGAAUCUCUUCCCGACCAGGCCAGGCUUCGCAUCAAUGACGGAAUCGGUCAUCGGCAACUUUUCUGAGUCUUUCCGUCUGAAUAUCCCUCUGAGAUGUUUGCCCGGGUAAUUGGUAUAUACAUAGCAACUUGCUUUUGCAGGCAACACCUAAUAUUAAUUGAAUUGCAUUCAUCAAAUGCAAUCCCUUGGAUCUAUUACA